rnacentral:rRNA from 1 species
GAUGAACGCUGGCGGCGUGCCUAAUACAUGCAAGUCGAGCGAACAGAUGAGGAGCUUGCUCCUCUGACGUUAGCGGCGGACGGGUGAGUAACACGUGGAUAACCUACCUAUAAGACUGGGAUAACUUCGGGAAACCGGAGCUAAUACCGGAUAAUAUAUUGAACCGCAUGGUUCAAUAGUGAAAGACGGUUUUGCUGUCACUUAUAGAUGGAUCCGCGCCGCAUUAGCUAGUUGGUAAGGUAACGGCUUACCAAGGCAACGAUGCGUAGCCGACCUGAGAGGGGGAUCGGCCACACUGGAACGGAGACACGGACCAGACUCCUACGGGAGGCAGCAGUAGGGAAUCUUCCGCAAUGGGCGAAAGCCUGACGGAGCAACGCCGCGUGAGUGAUGAAGGUCUUCGGAUCGUAAAACUCUGUUAUUAGGGAAGAACAAAUGUGUAAGUAACUAUGCACGUCUUGACGGUACCUAAUCAGAAAGCCACGGCUAACUACGUG